UUGAACUCCUGAGCCCUCCUAAACCUCAGCCGUCCAAACCCCACCAUGACCUCGCCCUCCCCUCCCCACCCCACCCCACCCCACCACGACCUCACCCUCCCCUCCCCACCACGACCUCAACCCUCCCUAGGAGAUCAGUCCCAAAGCUCUCGAUCCCUCAGUCCACCAACGAAGCUCUCGGUCCCAUCUCAGUCCACCAACGAAGCCCUCAGUCCACCGACCCGAAGCCGCCCUCAGUCCACCAAAGCUCUCAGAUAUGUGGGAGGUUUAGCAUACCAUUUCAAGUUUUUUUUCAUCUGUUUACUCAUUUAUCUCUGUAUUUGCUAGAAACUAACAGGUAGACCUCUCUCUCAGCAACUCUAAACCAACCCCACCAGUUUACAUGCUUAAAUACUUUUGAAUAAGGUAUCGAGAAGUAUAAGGUAUUGAGAGCUUAACUUUUGAAUGUUUUUCAAAUCAGAGUGCUUUUUUCAAUUGACGAAAGUUGAUUGCCUGAAAGUGGAGUCAGACUUUGAAGUUUUGUUCUCACAUAUGAAUAUAGUAUGAUUUGCUUGCAUUGCUUUUCCAUUUUUUAGAAAUGAGAAGAAUAAUCGAGUUUGGGGUCUUUUGAUUUUUUCAUAACAUGUUUAUGAAAAUUUACUAUCUUUGAGUAUAAUGGUUGCUUAUGAUUUUUUCCCACCUUCCCUUCACAUCAAUACUCUCAUUCUCUUUAUUCAUUUGGAAUAAAAGAAAAUGAAUAAAGAGAAUGACUGUGAAUCUUAAAUUGGAGGGUUGUUCACUACAUAAUUUAAUUAGGAUAAAUUGUGUUUCUAAUUAACUAGGGUUUCCAACUUAUAAAAAAAAUGUUAAAUUAACAUUUCCUUACUAGUAGUCUAUUUUAUCUAUCUUAAUAGUGUGAAAUCCAAUAAAUGCUAGCAAUGGGCAAUAGUGUUGCCCAGAACUCCUUCCAUCUGGAAGAGACUCUUCCUCUAAAAUUCUUAAACUGAGUCCAGUCAUAGUUGGAGUCAAGGAAUGGAGCAAAUUUGCUAAAUGAGUGCUGGAUCAAUAUUAAGAAUAUGUUCAUUUGUCUCAUGUAUAUUCACUAACUCAAUUAUGUUCUAAACUAAUGCUAAGACAGCUAUUUAACAUAUACUUCACAACACAUUUUUAUUGCAACUCGAUGAAGUUCCUCAACAUGUUGACACUAGAUAACAAGAUUCAAACUACUAAACAGUUGGUGAAGAUCAUUUAAUUAGAAUAAUGAACUUUGGAAUUGUCUAAGAGCAGACAAUUCUUCUUUGAAUUUAUCUUUGGUUUUUCAGAAUCACGCAUGGCAUCAUCCUAAAACACCACUAAAGACGUCCCACACUAUGAGAUUUUUUGCCUGCUCAAAUUAUAAUAUGGGAGAUGCGAGGUGUGAAUUCUUCGUAUGAGCGGAUAUACUUAAUCUGUUAUAGGAGAAUUUUAGUGUUAAAGAGAAUAAGGCUUUAAAGAUGUGGGAUGAUGUACUAUAGCGCGAGUAUGACGUUCAAAAAAAAGAAGAUAAAGUGAGAGAGAUAGCGGAGAAUCUGAAAAAAGAAAAGCGAAAAUUGUUGUGUUUGUACUGGGUUAUUACAUUUGUAAUAGUGUUUGCUUGGCUCGAAUAAAUUCCUAGACUUUUUUGCACGUUGUAUGGAUUAGAUUUUGAUGAAAACCAUGUAAAUUAUAUGUUGCUAAAUCAACCUGUGUAAUGAAAACAAGUUGUGCACUUCUCUGUUUUUUGAAAACGUUUGCCAAGUCUUAUGUAGUUGAUCGAGAUUAACUAUGAUUAACUAUGUAGAGUUGUUGCUGUUGCU